rnacentral:tRNA from 1 species
GCGCGAGUGGUGAAAUUGGCAGACACGCAGGAUUUAGGUUCCUGUACCUUCGGGUGUGCGGGUUCAAGUCCCGCCUCGCGCA